GUGAGGAAUAUUGGUCAAUGGGCGAGAGCCUGAACCAGCCAAGUCGCGUGAAGGAAGAAGGAUCUAUGGUUCGUAAACUUCUUUUGCAGGGGAAUAAAGUGCAGGACGUGUUCUGUUUUGUAUGUACCCUGAGAAUAAGGAUCGGCUAACUCCGUGCCAGCAGCCGCGGUAAUACGGAGGAUCCGAGCGUUAUCCGGAUUUAUUGGGUUUAAAGGGUGCGUAGGUGGUUUGAUAAGUCAGCGGUGAAAGUUUGCAGCUUAACUGUAAAAAUGCCGUUGAAACUGUCGGACUUGAGUGUAAAUGAGGUAGGCGGAAUGCGUGGUGUAGCGGUGAAAUGCAUAGAUAUCACGCAGAACUCCGAUUGCGAAGGCAGCUUACUAAGCUACAACUGACACUGAAGCACGAAAGCGUGGGGAUCAAACAGGAUUAGAAACCCUGGUAGUCC
rnacentral:rRNA from 1 species